UUUCAGUCAAUCCAAGCUCCACCCACUAUCCCUUUCUUCUCUCUAUAAAAGCAUAAACCCUACCAUCCUUCUCUUGCAGCUUCUUCAUUCUGCGCAAUUCAAUUCUCACAAAAAAAGGUUUCCACCCGCCAAUGGGAACCCUAAUUCAAUCUCUUCCAGAUCUUCCUCUUUUCUUCUCCUUCUUCCUUUUCAUCUAUCUCUUAGCUCAAUUCCUAGUCUUUCGUAAUUGGAGCCCCAAUGUCCGCCCCGAAGCCUCCAGUUGCUUAAUCUCCCUCUUUCAUGGUACACCCGCUGUUUUUUUAGCCUCUUACGCCAUACUCAUCGACCCAAAUCGGGGUUUCUCGUCGCCGAACACCGAAAUCCAGGCGGCUGUUCUUGACUAUAGCAU
rnacentral:misc_RNA from 1 species